CAAUCGAACCCGGAGAUAGCUGGUUCUCCUCGAAAUAGCUUUAGGGCUAGCCUCGCAUUAGUUUACCGGAGGUAGAGCACUGAAUGGUCUAGGGGGCCUCACCGCCUACCGAAACCUAUCAAACUGCGAAUGCCGGAUAAAUGAUGUGCGGGAGUCAGGCCGCGAGAGAUAAGUUCCGCGGUCAAAAGGGGAACACCCCAGAUCGUCUGCUAAGGUCCCCAAGUACGCGUUAAGUGGGAAAGGAUGUUGGAUUGCACAGACAACCAGGAUGUUGGCUUAGAAGCAGCCACACAUUCAAAGAGUGCGUAAUAGCUCACUGGUCGAGUGAUCCAGCGCCGAAAAUGUAACGGGGCUAAAACGCGACACCGAAGCAGCGGGAUGCGUAAGCAUCGGUAGAGGAGCAUUGUGUGAGGAUAGAAGCCAGAGCGGGAGCACUGGUGGACUUCACAGAAGAGAGAAUGCCGGUAUGAGUAGCGAGACCCAUGCGAGAAACAUGGGCGUCGAAGGCCCAAGGUUUCCUGGGGAAGGUUCAUCCACCCAGGGUAAGUCGGGACCUAAGCCGAGGACUGAGGUCGUAGGCGAUGGACAGCAGGUAGAGAUUCCUGCACCACUUACACUUGUUAGACGAAGCAGUGACACAGAAGGAUAGGACGAGCGCGGUGAUGGUCAACCGCGUAGGCGGCACGAGGCUGGGGAGCAGUAAAGUACACUUCCCGUUAAGGCUGAGUGCAGACAGGACCGAAAAAGAGUAGGGAAGCGUCUGAGUUCACGCUGGCGAGAAAAGCUGCUAAGGAGAGUGUGAGUGCCCGUACCGGAAACCGACGCAGGUGGGCGAGGAGAGAAUCCUGAGACGGACGGGAGAACUCUUGUUAAGGAACUCGGCAAAAUGACCCCGUAACUUCGGGAGAAGGGGUGCCUCGAAAGAGGCCGCAGAGAAUAGUCACAAGCGACUGUUUAGCAAAAACACAGGUAUCUGCGAAAGCGAGAGCUGACGUAUAGGUGCUGACGCCUGCCCGGUGCUGGAAGGUUAAGGGGAAGUGUUAGGGGAAACCCGAAGCAGAGAACCGAAGCCCCAGUAAACGGCGGCCGUAACUAUAACGGUCCUAAGGUAGCGAAAUUCCUUGUCGGGUAAGUUCCGACCCGCACGAAUGGCGUAACGACUUGUGAGCUGUCUCAACAGGAGGCCCGGUGAAAUUGAAGUAUGUGUGAAGAUGCACAUUACCCGCGACUGGACGGAAAGACCCCGUAGAGCUUUACUGUAACCUGACAUUGGAUCUUGAUAACGGAUGCACAGGAUAGGUGGGACGCUGGGAGGUAUGGACUUUGGUCUGUACGGAGCGGACGUUGGGAUACCACUCUUCUGUUAUUGAGAUUCUAACCUCAAGCCGUAAGCCGGAUGAGAGACAGUGUCAGGCGGACAGUUUGACUGGGGCGGUCGCCUCCGAAAGAGUAACGGAGGCGCCCAAAGGUACCCUCAGAAUGGAUGGAAACCAUUCGAAGAGAGCAAAGUCAGAAGGGUGCUUGACUGCGAGACCAACAAGUCGAGCAGGUACGAAAGUAGGGCUUAGUGAUCCGGCGGUAAGAGAGUGGAAUUGCCGUCGCUCAACGGAUAAAAGCUACCUCGGGGAUAACAGGCUGAUCUCCCCCAAGAGUUCACAUCGACGGGGAGGUUUGGCACCUCGAUGUCGGCUCGUCGCAUCCUGGGGCUGAAGCAGGUCCCAAGGGUUUGGCUGUUCGCCAAUUAAAGCGGCACGCGAGCUGGGUUCAGAACGUCGUGAGACAGUUCGGUCCCUAUCCAUCGUGGGCGAAGGACACAUGAGAGGAGCUGCUCCUAGUACGAGAGGACCGGAGUGGACGCAUCACUGGUGCAACUGUUGUCGUGCCAACGGCACAGCAGGGAAGCGAAAUGCGGAUGGGAUAAACGCUGAAGGCAUCUAAGCGUGAAGCCCACCUCAAGAAUAAGUGUCCCAUUCGAAAGAAGUAAGACCCCUGGAAGACUACCAGGUGAUAGGUCAUCGGUGAAAGAGCGGUAACGUUUGGAGCUUGAUGAUACUAAUCGGUCGAGGACUUGAUCUA
rnacentral:rRNA from 1 species